AACGAACGCUGGCGGCAUGCCUAACACAUGCAAGUCGAACGAGACCUUCGGGUCUAGUGGCGCACGGGUGCGUAACGCGUGGGAACCUGCCCUUAGGUUCGGAAUAACUCCCCGAAAGGGGUGCUAAUACCGGAUAAUGUCUUCGGACCAAAGAUUUAUCGCCUUUGGAUGGGCCCGCGUUGGAUUAGCUAGUUGGUAGGGUAAAAGCCUACCAAGGCGACGAUCCAUAGCUGGUCUGAGAGGAUGAUCAGCCACACUGGGACUGAGACACGGCCCAGACUCUUACGGGAGGCAGCAGUGGGUAAUAUUGGACAAUGGGCGAAAGCCUGAUCCAGCAAUGCCGCGUGAGUGAUGAAGGCCUUAGGGUUGUAAAGCUCUUUUACCCGGGAUGAUAAUGACAGUACCGGGAGAAUAAGCCCCGGCUAACUCCGUG
rnacentral:rRNA from 1 species